UUCUCCUUGGUGAACCUGCGGAAGGAGCAUUAAGAGUCUGCCGAAGGGUAGACCUCCCACCCUUGUGUAUUAUUACUUUGUUGCUUUGGCGAGCUGCCUUCGGGCCUUGUAUGCUCGCCAGAGAAUACCAAAACUCUUUUUAUUAAUGUCGUCUGAGUACUAUAUAAUAGUUAAAACUUUCAACAACGGAUCUCUUGGUUCUGGCAUCGAUGAAGAACGCAGCGAAAUGCGAUAAGUAAUGUGAAUUGCAGAAUUCAGUGAAUCAUCGAAUCUUUGAACGCACAUUGCGCCCCUUGGUAUUCCGGGGGGCAUGCCUGUUCGAGCGUCAUUUCAACCCUCAAGCUUAGCUUGGUAUUGAGUCUAUGUCAGUAAUGGCAGGCUCUAAAAUCAGUGGCGGCGCCGCUGGGUCCUGAACGUAGUAAUAUCUCUCGUUACAGGUUCUCGGUGUGCUUCUGCCAAAACCCAAAUUUUUCUAUGGUGACCUCGGAUCAGGUAGAGACACCCACAGAACUUAAGCAUAUCAUAAGGGGGGAAGGAAA
rnacentral:rRNA from 1 species